rnacentral:rRNA from 1 species
GUAGGGYGCAAGCGUUAAUCGGAAUUACUGGGCGUAAAGCGUGCGCAGGCGGUUUUGUAAGACAGUGGUGAAAUCCCCGGGCUCAACCUGGGAACUGCCAUUGUGACUGCAAAGCUAGAGUGCGGCAGAGGGGGAUGGAAUUCCGCGUGUAGCAGUGAAAUGCGUAGAUAUGCGGAGGAACACCGAUGGCGAAGGCAAUCCCCUGGGCCUGCACUGACGCUCAUGCACGAAAGCGUGGGGAGCAAACAGGAUUAGAUACCCUGGUAGUCCACGCCCUAAACGAUGUCAACUGGUUGUUGGGUCUUAACUGACUCAGUAACGAAGCUAACGCGUGAAGUUGACCGCCUGGGGAGUACGGCCGCAAGGUUG